rnacentral:piRNA from 1 species
UAAGAAAGGAUCAAUCUACUAGCUUACGUGC